rnacentral:rRNA from 1 species
UUGAUCCUGGCUCAGAACGAACGCUGGCGGCGUGCCUAACACAUGCAAGUCGAACGUGAAAGUCCUUCGGGAUGAGUAAAGUGGCGCACGGGUGAGUAAUGCGUAGAUAAUCUGCCUGGUGAUCAGGGAUAACAUCUCGAAAGGGGUGCUAAUACCGGAUAAGCUCACGGAGUCCUCGGACUCUGCGGGAAAAGGGGGGGACCUUCGGGCCUUCUGUCACCAGAUGAGUCUACGUACCAUUAGCUAGUUGGUGGGGUAAGAGCCCACCAAGGCGACGAUGGUUAGCUGGUCUGAGAGGAUGAUCAGCCACACUGGAACUGAGACACGGUCCAGACUCCUACGGGAGGCAGCAGUGGGGAAUUUUGCGCAAUGGGGGAAACCCUGACGCAGCAACGCCGCGUGAGUGAUGAAGGCCUUCGGGUCGUAAAGCUCUGUCAGAGGGAAAGAAAUGUGGGUGGCUAAUAUCCAUACCACUUGACGGUACCCUCAAAGGAAGCACCGGCUAACUCCGUGCCAGCAGCCGCGGUAAUACGGAGGGUGCGAGCGUUGUUCGGAAUUAUUGGGCGUAAAGCGCGUGUAGGCGGUUUUAUAAGUCUGAUGUGAAAGCCCCGGGCUCAACCUGGG